CCACCAGGGAAGAAGACGGUGCCCUGGACGGAGCUCACCUUGGCACACGACUUGUUAAUUGAUAUAUCCUCUUAUUCAGGAAAGACGGAUGGUGCAUGGAAAUCAGAUUGAAGUGGAAGAAAUCUCCAGGAGCGACUAUACAUGAGGAGAAAAGAGUGGCGCUAAGCUGAAGACUGACUUCUGUGGCCUUCAUCCCAUACGCGGAGUCUCUGAAAAGCACCUGAGUGCCUCUGGUAUUUCAGGAAGCCAGACGUGUCCUCAGCACUCAUUUAUCCUCAGCAUCAUGAAUCACAAAAACACGUUUUCUUUUUUUUGCCUGAACGCAAGCUUGAAAUAUAAUUCACGUUCUUUGUUGCUGUCCUUCAAAGCACUUCGGACACAAUUGUCAAACAAGCAUGAUUUACUCUGUG